rnacentral:rRNA from 1 species
UUAAGUGACUAAGCGUACACGGUGGAUGCCUUGGCAGUUGGAGGCGAUGAAGGACGUAUUAACUUGCGAUAAGCCUAGUCAAGCUAGUAAAAAGCGCUUGAGACUAGGAUUUCCGAAUGGGGAAACCCACCUGCUUGCAGGUAUCUUGCACUGAAUACAUAGGUGUAAGAGGCGAACGCGGAGAACUGAAACAUCUAAGUACCCGUAGGAACAGAAAUCAACCGAGAUUCCGGAAGUAGCGGCGAGCGAAACCGGACCAGCCCUUAAGCUUAUUAUGUGUUAGUGGAACAUUCUGGAAAGUUUGACGAUACAGGGUGAUAGUCCCGUACACGAAAAUGCAUCUUAAGUGAAAUCGAGUAGGUCGGAGCACGUGAAACUUUGACUGAAUAUAGGUGGACCAUCAUCUAAGGCUAAAUACUCCCAACUGACCGAUAGUGAACCAGUACCGUGAGGGAAAGGCGAAAAGAACCCCUGUGAGGGGAGUGAAAUAGAACCUGAAACCGUGUACGUACAAGCAGUAGGAGCCCUUCGAGGGUGACUGCGUACCUUUUGUAUAAUGGGUCAGCGACUUAUAUUUUGUAGCGAGGUUAACCGAUUAGGGUAGCCGUAGGGAAACCGAGUCUUAACUGGGCGUAUAGUUGCAAGGUAUAGACCCGAAACCCGGUGAUCUAGCCAUGGGCAGGUUGAAGGUUGAGUAACAUCAACUGGAGGACCGAACCCACUAACGUUGAAAAGUUAGGGGAUGACCUGUGGCUAGGAGUGAAAGGCUAAUCAAACCGGGAGAUAGCUGGUUCUCCCCGAAAUCUAUUUAGGUAGAGCCUCGGACGAAUACUUACGGGGGUAGAGCACUGUUAAGGCUAGGGGGUCAUCCCGACUUACCAACCCUUUGCAAACUCCGAAUACCGUAAAGUACUAUCCGGGAGACACACGGCGGGUGCUAACGUCCGUCGUGAAGAGGGAAACAACCCAGACCGCCAGCUAAGGUCCCAAAGUCAUAGUUAAGUGGGAAACGAUGUGGAAAGGCCCAGACAGCCAGGAGGUUGGCUUAGAAGCAGCCAUCCUUUAAAGAAAGCGUAAUAGCUCACUGGUCGAGUCGGUCUGCGCGGAAGAUGUAACGGGGCUAAACUAUGCACCGAAGCUGCGGAUUCAAACUAUGUUUGAGUGGUAGGGGAGCGUUCUGUAAGCCGUUGAAGGUGUACCGGGAGGUAUGCUGGAGGUAUCAGAAGUGCGAAUGCUGACAUGAGUAACGAUAAUGCGGGUGAAAAACCCGCACGCCGGAAGACCAAGGGUUCCUAUCCCAUGUUAAUCAGGGUAGGGUAAGUCGACCCCUAAGGCGAGGCCGAAAGGCGUAGUCGAUGGGAAACGGGUUAAUAUUCCCGUACUUGGUAUAAUUGCGAUGGGGGGACGGAGCAGGCUAAACAAGCAUGGCGUUGGUUGUCCAUGUGAAAGUGAGUAGGUUGGUGACUUAGGAAAAUCCGGGUUGCUAAGACUGAGACACGAGACGAGCACCCAAGGGUGUGAAGUUGUUGAUGCCAUACUUCCAGGAAAAGCCUCUAAGCUUCAGAUUAUACCGAAUCGUACCCCAAACCGACACAGGUGGUCAGGUAGAGAAUACUAAGGCGCUUGAGAGAACUCGGGUGAAGGAACUAGGCAAAAUUGUACCGUAACUUCGGGAGAAGGUACGCUCCUAUCUGUGAUGAGACUUGCUCUCUAAGCGGACGGGAGCCGCAGUGACCAGGUGGCUGGGACUGUUUAUUAAAAACACAGCACUGUGCAAAAUCGCAAGAUGACGUAUACGGUGUGACACCUGCCCGGUGCCGGAAGGUUAAUUGAUGGGGUUAGUUUUCGGACGAAGCUCUUGAUCGAAGCCCCGGUAAACGGCGGCCGUAACUAUAACGGUCCUAAGGUAGCGAAAUUCCUUGUC